rnacentral:rRNA from 1 species
UACGAAGGGGGCUAGCGUUGCUCGGAUUGACUGGGCGUAAAGAGCGUGUAGGCGGCCAUACAGGUCCGUUGUGAAAACUGGAGGCUUAACCUCCAGACGUCGAUGGAAACCGUAUGGCUAGAGUCCGGAAGAGGAGAGUGGAAUUCCUGGUGUAGCGGUGAAAUGCGCAGAUAUCAGGAAGAACACCCGUGGCGAAGGCGGCUCUCUGGGACGGUACCUGACGCUGAGACGCGAAAGCGUGGGGAGCGAACAGG